UUGGCUCAGGAUGAACGCUGGCGGCAGGCCUAACACAUGCAAGUCGAGCGGAUGAGUGGAGCUUGCUCCAUGAUUCAGCGGCGGACGGGUGAGUAAUGCCUAGGAAUCUGCCUGGUAGUGGGGGACAACGUUUCGAAAGGAACGCUAAUACCGCAUACGUCCUACGGGAGAAAGUGGGGGAUCUUCGGACCUCACGCUAUCAGAUGAGCCUAGGUCGGAUUAGCUAGUUGGUGAGGUAAAGGCUCACCAAGGCGACGAUCCGUAACUGGUCUGAGAGGAUGAUCAGUCACACUGGAACUGAGACACGGUCCAGACUCCUACGGGAGGCAGCAGUGGGGAAUA
rnacentral:rRNA from 1 species